rnacentral:rRNA from 1 species
GGAUAACUACCCUUUAGGACCGGGAUAACCCUGGGAAACUGGGGAUAAUACUGGAUAGGCAAUUUUUCCUGUAAUGGUUUUUUGUUUAAAUGUUUUUUCGCCUAAGGAUGGGUCUGCGGCCGAUUAGGUAGUUGGUUAGGUAAUGGCUUACCAAGCCGUUGAUCGGUACGGGUUGUGAGAGCAAGAGCCCGGAGAUGGAACCUGAGACAAGGUUCCAGGCCCUACGGGGCGCAGCAGGCGCGAAACCUCCGCAAUGUGAGAAAUCGCGACGGGGGGAUCCCAAGUGCCAUUCUUAACGGGAUGGCUUUUCAUUAGUGUAAAGAGCUUUUGGAAUAAGGGCUGGGCAAGACCGGUGCCAGCCGCCGCGGUAACACCGGCAGCUCUAGUGGUAGCAGUUUUUAUUGGGCCUAAAGCGUCCGUAGCCGGUUUAAUAAGUCUCUGGUGAAAUCCUGUAGCUUAACUGUGGGAAUUGCUGGAGAUACUAUUAGACUUGAGACCGGGAGAGGUUAGAGGUACUCCCAGGGUAGAGGUGAAAUUCUGUAAUCCUGGGAGGACCGCCUGUUGCGAAGGCGUCUAACUGGAACGGUUCUGACGGUGAGGGACGAAAGUUAGGGGCGCGAACCGGAUUAGAUACCCGGGUAGUCCUAACUGUAAACGAUGCGGACUUGGUGUUGGGGUGGCUUUGAGCUGCUCCAGUGCCGAAGGGAAGCUGUUAAGUCCGCCGCCUGGGAAGUACGGUCGCAAGACUGAAACUUA